UACGUAGGGUGCAAGCGUUGUCCGGAAUUAUUGGGCGUAAAGAGCUCGUAGGCGGUUUGUUGCGUCGGCUGUGAAAUCCCGAGGCUCAACCUCGGGUCUGCAGUCGAUACGAGCAAACUAGAGUGUUGCAGGGGAGACUGGAAUUCCUGGUGUAGCGGUGAAAUGCGCAGAUAUCAGGAGGAACACCGGUGGCGAAGGCGGCCCUCUGGACCGGUACUGACGCUGAUGCGCGAAAGCGUGGGGAGCAAACGGG
rnacentral:rRNA from 1 species